rnacentral:rRNA from 1 species
UGGCGGUGCGCCUAACACAUGCAAGUCGAACGGUGAACCGGGCUUCGGCCCGGGGAUCAGUGGCGAACGGGUGCGUAACACGUGGGCAACCUGCCCCCGACCCUGGGAUAACCCCGGGAAACCGGAGCUAAUACCGGAUACUCUCCUCCGACCACAUGGUCAGAAGAGGAAAGGUCCGCCGGUCGGGGAUGGGCCCGCGGCCUAUCAGCUUGUUGGUGGGGUAAAGGCCUACCAAGGCAUCGAUCAGUAGCUGGUCUGAGAGGACGACCAGCCACACUGGAACUGAGACACGGUCCAGACUCCUACGGGAGGCAGCAGUGGGGAAUUUUGGACAACGGGCGCAAGCCUGAUCCAGCAAUGCCGCGUGAGUGAAGAAGGCCUUCGGGUUGUAAAGCUCUUUUGUCAGGGAAGAAACGGCGGUUUCUAAUACAGAUCGCUAAUGACGGUACCUGAAGAAUAAGCACCGGCUAACUACGUGCCAGCAGCCGCGGUAAUACGUAGGGUGCAAGCGUUAAUCGGAAUUACUGGGCGUAAAGCGUGCGCAGGCGGUUUUGUAAGUCUGUCAUGAAAUCCCCGGGCUCAACCUGGGAAUGGCGAUGGAGACUGCAAGGCUAGAGUUUGGCAGAGGGGGGUAGAAUUCCACGUGUAGCAGUGAAAUGCGUAGAGAUGUGGAGGAACACCGAUGGCGAAGGCAGCCCCCUGGGUCAAGUCUGACGCUCAUGCACGAAAGCGU